GCAAUUUCCUGGUGACUAAGCAUACAAGUGCUCUAACACUCCAGGUUUGUGGUGGAUUAAAUGAGUCGUACGUUGAGCUGAAGAGACUUGUGAAUUCACAAGAAAAGUUGUACCAUAUGGCUAGCUAGUUGCAUAUUUAAUAUGUUUAGUAUUUUUGUAAGGCAUAAUAGUAUAGAUAGAGCAGUUGUUGAAUUUUGACUAUAUUCAAAUCUUGUAUGAAUUCUUUUUUAUGAUAAUAAUAUAAAAUUAAAUA